rnacentral:tRNA from 1 species
UUUAAACCCUAAAUAUGAUUUAUGUAAUUCUCAUAUUA